UUUAAAAGGUGGAUAUUCCUUCUAUGUUUACGUGAUUCCUAGAUAAUCAUAGAGGAAAAUCCAUGUUUUCAG
rfam:Mustela putorius furo unplaced genomic scaffold scaffold00047, whole genome shotgun sequence.